AUUGAACGCUGGCGGAAUGCUUUACACAUGCAAGUCGAACGGCAGCACGAGAGCUUGCUCUUGGUGGCGAGUGGCGAACGGGUGAGUAAUAUAUCGGAACGUAUCCAAUAAUGGGGGAUAACUAAUCGAAAGGUUAGCUAAUACCGCAUACGCCCUACGGGGAAGGACAGGGGAGUCUUCGGACCUUGCGUUAAUGGAGCGGCUGAUAUCUGAUUAGCUAGUAGGUGAGGUAAAGGACUCACCAAGGCAACGAUCAGUAGCUGGUCUGAGAGGACGACCAGCCACACUGGAACUGAGACACGGUCCAGACUCCUAC
rnacentral:rRNA from 1 species